rnacentral:rRNA from 1 species
AGCUGUCGCUAAAGGAUGGACCCGCGGUGCAUUAGCUAGUUGGUAAGGUAACGGCUUACCAAGGCGACGAUGCAUAGCCGAGUUGAGAGACUGAUCGGCCACAUUGGGACUGAGACACGGCCCAAACUCCUACGGGAGGCAGCAGUAGGGAAUCUUCCACAAUGGGCGAAAGCCUGAUGGAGCAACGCCGCGUGAGUGAAGAAGGUUUUCGGAUCGUAAAGCUCUGUUGUUGGUGAAGAAGGAUAGAGGUAGUAACUGGCCCCUAUUUGACGGUAAUCAACCAGAAAGUCACGGCUAACUACGUGCCAGCGGCCGCGGUAAUACGUAGGUGGCAAGCGUUGUCCGGAUUUAUUGGGCGUAAAGCGAGCGCAGGCGGAAAGAUAAGUCUGAUGUGAAAGCCCCCGGCUUAACCGAGGAAUUGCAUCGGAAACUGUGUUUCUUGAGUGCAGAAGAGGAGAGUGGAACUCCAUGUGUAGCGGUGGAAUGCGUAGAUAUAUGGAAGAACACCAGUGGCGAAGGCGGCUCUCUGGUCUGUAACUGACGCUGAGGCUCGAAAGCAUGGGUAGCGAACAGGAUUAGAUACCCUGGUAGUCCAUGCCGUAAACGAUGAGUGCUAAGUGUUGGGAGGUUUCCGCCUCUCA